AACGAACGCUGGCGGCAGGCUUAACACAUGCAAGUCGAGCGCCCCGCAAGGGGAGCGGCAGACGGGUGAGUAACGCGUGGGAAUCUACCCAUCUCUACGGAAUAACGCAUGGAAACGUGUGCUAAUACCGUAUACGUCCUUCGGGAGAAAGAUUUAUCGGAGAUGGAUGAGCCCGCGUUGGAUUAGCUAGUUGGUGGGGUAAAGGCCUACCAAGGCCACGAUCCAUAGCUGGUCUGAGAGGAUGCUCAGUCACACUGGGGGUGAGACACGGCCCAGACUCCUACGGGAGGCAGCAGUGGGGAAUAUUGGAAAAUGGGCGCAAGCCUGAUCCAGCCAUGCCGCGUGAGUGAUGAAGGCCCUAGGGUUGUAAAGCUCUUUCACCGGUGAAGAUAAUGACGGUAACCGGAGAAGAAGCCCCGGCUAACUUCGUGCCAGCAGCCGCAGUAAUAC
rnacentral:rRNA from 1 species